rnacentral:rRNA from 1 species
UACAGAGGUCCCUAGCGUUGUUCGGAUUUACUGGGCGUAAAGGGCACGUAGGUGGCUAUGCGUGUCGAGUGUGAAAUCUCCGGGCCCAACCCGGAAAGUGCGCUCGAAACUACAUGGCUGGAGUACGGGAGAGGGGAUCGGAAUGCAGGGUGUAGCGGUGAAAUGCGUUGAUAUCCUGCAGAACACCGGAGGCGAAGGCGGAUCCCUGGAACGUUACUGACGCUAAGGUGCGAAAGUCGGGGGAGCGAAC